GAUGAACGUUGGCGGUGUGCCUAAUACAUGCAAGUCGAACGGAGAUCAUAAAGUAGUAAUACCUUGUGAUUCUUAGUGGCGAACGGGUGAGUAACGCGUUGGUGGCCUGCCCCGAAGUGUGGAAUAACAAUUCGAAAGAAUUGCUAAUACCGCAUGUGAUUUUAGAGACUAGAUGCUCCUUAAUUAAAGGAUUUAUUCGCUUCGGGAGGGGCCUGCGUCCCAUCAGCUAGUUGGUAAGGUAAUGGCUUACCAAGGCUAUGACGGGUAGGGGACCUGAGAGGGUGGCCCCCCACAAUGGAACUGAAACACGGUCCAUACACCUACGGGUGGCAGCAGUAGGGAAUAUUAGUAAUGGGCGAAAGCCUGAACUAGCAACACCGCGUGUGCGAAGAAGGCCUUCGGGUUGUAAAGCACUUUUCGGGAGGAUGAGGAAGGACGGUACUCCCGGAAUAAGUCUCGGCUAACUACGUGCCAGCAGCCGCCGUAACAC
rnacentral:rRNA from 1 species